GUCUAUGGCCAUGCUACUCUGAACAAGCCCAAUCCCAUUUGAUCUCGGAAGCUAAGCAGGGUUGGGACUGGUUAGUACUUGGAUGGGAGACCACCUAGGAAGACCAGGUGCUGUAGUGU
rnacentral:rRNA from 1 species